rnacentral:lncRNA from 1 species
CACCAAGCACUCAAACCACACCACAGCUUCCUGCUUCUUUGCAGCAGAUUUGCAGUUUCAGGCCUCGCAUUUGUGGCGGAGAUGGGUGACGCCAAGUCGUCGUGGCCGGAGGUGCUGGGGGCGCCGUCCGAGGUGGCCAAGCGGAAGAUCCUCAGCGACCGGCCGGACGUGCGCGUCUUCGUGGCUCCCGCCGGCUCCGCCGUCACCACCGACUUCGACGACAAGCGCGUCCGCGUCUUCGUCAGCACCCGCGGCGACGUCGCCAGGGUCCCCAGCAUCGGCUAGGACGAUCACGCUCCACCAUGCACAGUGCUAGGGUGCCCGGCAUGCAUCCAUCGUCCUGGUUCAUGCUGCCUGGUGUGCUAGCCAAGAUUAUUAUGUAUUGUACGCGUACGCACCUAUGUACUAUUCAACAUCAUGUAUUCAACAUUAUAUUGUAUCUCCAUUGCAAUAAAGCUCACUGAUUGUAGACAGACUUGGUUCAUUCUGUGUGCGCCCACGGAAAAACUAUUCUCGGUCGCCACCAAAUCGGACACAUGCUAGGGUACACAAGAACGUAUUGCUGUUAGUUUCUUUGAGAAGACAUGCAGAUAUUACAGUAAGAGCAGUUCAAAAUAUAAAUGGGACAAUUAAUUAAUUUGCACUUAAUUAGUGUACAUUUGUGUCAUUCAGUUUAAAGCAGGCAAAAAUAGAUAAUUAAUUUAUGCUUGAUCAACGUAUAAACAUCAAACUCAUCAUUCAGGAGGCGUUACAGACAUUAAUUCUCGGGAGUAUGUAGCCCAAACAAAGCGGAUUGUAAAGUUUUCAUAAGCUAUCCAUGAUAUCAACCUCUUUCUUUUUUGCAUGGUAAUACAUGUCUCAUUCAUAGAAUAAAGGUCAAGAUACAAACCAUGUAGACACUGAAUACCAACCAGAUAUCUCUAACAAAUGUCUAGAUCCAAUUAAUCUCUCCUAGACGAACUGUAAUAUACUACAAAUAUCAGUAACUCUCUACAUGCACUCACAAAUACCAUAACUCUCUACAAUGCAGUAGACCCUUACUCCCUUAGUUUAAUAACAUUGGAAAUAUUUUUCCGAGUUUCGACCAAAAAAAUCAGCAACACUCAGUAAACUGUGCCACAAAGUUGUAGUUCCAAAUUUAAUGUAUAACUCUAGAUUAAAAAAGACAAAUUGUGAUGAGAAUAGUACCGAAAUGAUGGCAUUGACUUAACCUUUUCUCCCUUUUUGUGUAUAAAGUUGUGAAUCAAAUUCAGACGUAAUAUUUUGUACUACCUUAACGUUUUACUAAAUCAGCGUUAAUUAAUUUAGAUUGAAAGGAGUAGUAUUUUUCAUAGUUUCUUUUUCUAGAUUUUUCUCGUAACUUUUAAAUAGACAUUCAUAUACCCAUGAAUUCUUUCUUGAACGUCAUGGGCACCGGGUGUAUCCGACAACCUCCGAUGGGAAACCUUGAGAACCGCGCCUUCUCAAAGGGUUCUUGAAAAUUCGAGAUAGAUAUAAUUCAACUUUUUAAACCUAUUUCUGCAUAAUAGAGCAAACUAGUAAAAAAAACGCCAUUUAAGAUAAUACUCCUACUUGGAUAAGAGAGCCUCUAGCCCUCUACCCUGUCAAUGGAUAGGGAGAGAACAAUAUCUUGAUAAAUACCAAUUCCUAUUAAUGAUACAUACUAAAAUAAAUAGUUCUCGUGGUUCAUAAUCCACAAAAAUUGCAUUUGAUCCUAAUUAAAGCUACAACGGCUGCUGCUGUGUCGCAGCCACUCCAGGAGAGCUUAAUUUAAUGUUCUUAAGCAAAAUACAAGUUUAAUUAAAAAAACUAGAUGUAAAUUACUGUCAAUCAUUUGCUACAGUGAUGCUUGUUUUGUGUUUUUGUGCGGGAAAAUCCUUGGCUACAGUUGACCACACAUGCACUCCCUCCGUUUCGAAUUACUUGUCGCAGGUAUGAAUGCAUCUAGAUGUAUUUUAGUUCUAAAUACAUCCAUUUAUGCGACGAGUAAUUUGGAACGAAGGGAGUAUUUUGUUUACAUAUAACUCAGAUGUUAAGCAGGCACAGACUUGCCCUUCUCUAUCGAGGCGUGCAGAAGUCCACUAACCGUGCAGGCCGGCAGUGCAUGCAUGUAAGGACAAUUGCAAAUACGUCAGACAGGCUCGGUCCAAGAUGGAGACCAAAGCGUUGGUCGAACAAGAUGUUAAAUUUAAACUAAAACCAGGACAAGUAUUUUGGAAUGGAAAAAGUACAUAGUACCAGGUAAAGGUGGCCAAGGCUCACAUGUUGAAGCAUCGCCUUGUCAACCACAGAUACCUUAUCAUCGUCUACUAUUCUUAGCUUGCCUCUAAAUACCACAAAACAUGACUUAUGUGCAUAAAAUUAUACUCCCUUCGUUCACAAAUAUGAGAUGUUCUAACUUUUUUGGAAAUCAAUGUAUAUAGACAUGUUUUAGUGUGUUUGGUCACUCAUUUUAGUCCAUACGUAGUCCAUAUUGAAAUAUACAAAACAUCUUAUAUUUGUGAACAAAGGAGUACAAUUUCUCACAUAUAUGGGUAUAAGAAUAUAUUUUUGACGUGCAAGGCAGGAACACUUUCUGAUUUCAUUAAAAGAGAAAACAUAAAUUUGUAAUGGCCUGGUUUAUGAAAAGAACUAGGCUGAAAACCACACAAUUGGUUAAGGAUAACCAUGCACUUACCCAGACAACAAAAAGGAAAAUAUAAAAAAAAAUACAGACACCUGCCAAUUCAAACUCCACCGCCAACAUACCCACAACCCAAAGAUGAGUGGGCGAGCCCUUUAGAGACGCUUUCAAGAAGGAAAAGAACACCCUUGGUCAUCGUCUCUGCUAGUGUAACAACUCCCGUUGAAGACUUUAACUUUCGCCCAGAGCCACCCACAAUAGCCUCGCUAGACCCCGGGAAAAAAUUCCGGCCAUACCAAGCACUAUUGUCAAGGUGACCUGACUCGUGCGCUCUGAAUCCUGUUGUCUGAGCUCUUAAUUGUGUGAACUGUUCUCUCUUUGGCUGGUGAACUAUAAGGCUGGUCACAAUGGGCAAGAACAUAAGCUAGUAACUUACACACUUCCCUAGACUAUGUUACUACCUCCAUAGUGGGUAGGAACAUCUAUGUAGUGUCAUGCAACGAUGUAUUUAUUAGGUUAUAGACUCAUUGUUUCUUGGAGUGUGUGAUGUUCCGGUAACUUAGCUAGUUACCACAAGCACCUCUCUCUUCAUUAAAUAUGUGCCACAUAAGCAAAGUUGUAUUGGAGUGUGUGAUGUUACUCCUAAGUUCCUCCCCAUUGUGACCAGCCUAAAUUUUGCCCAGGGAUCGGCACCCUAGGGUUGUGUGCCCUAGCUGUCUUAAAACUGAUGUAGUGUUAAUUGUGUGGUAGUGUGCACUGUUUAAUUGUGUGGUAAUUGUGUAGGUGUGGUGUUAAUUGUGUUCCUGCUGGAUAUGUGAUUCCUUGCUAUGAAGCAUGCUACAUUUGAGUGGUAAGUUCACUGGAUUUGAAAGGGGUGAGCAGAACAGCACAAUGCACACAUCCAAACAACUGUGGUUUGCACCUGCUCAUCCCUGAAACACAAAUACAGACUACCAAACAACAUGCAUAAACUACUCACUGAUGCAAUACAAACUAUCAAACUAUGUGCACAAUAUGAUUUUCAGCCUGCAUUUGUUGUUCAGCUUAUCCAAAGCGAGCCACAGAUAUGAAGAGGCAAAAAUCGGUCCACGCUAUCAAACAGGCCCACAGUGACCAGGCCGCACCUACUGCACAGUAGAAGAUGCAGCAAAUCCUUGUCUACUACAUGCGGAUAAGUAUCAGCAGGCGUACAAAUCGUUGAUUAUAUCGGUGCCUGACGAACUACAACGACCAAGCCGGCCGGCCGUACAUCGUGCAUGUACUAAUGUACGUCAGAACGCGUAUAGAAAUACCCAGUCCAAGACGGCUGUGUCCCUCCACAACCACACGAAGAAGCAGAAGAAGAACUAGGCCGGACCCCGGAGCAAGCAAGUGUCCCUCUCGCUCGCACAGUCAAAGCUGGAAAAUUAUAGCCUCCAAUGUUGAAGCUUCGCGCUGCCAAAGAUGCCCGAUCCGUGCAGGGUUCCCAUGCAUCUCUACGUGCUAUAAAUACAGACCGUCUCCUCAAUCCAAUCCAGAAACCACAAGCAGUAGUACCAGCAAGCAAACCACAUCACCGGUUCCAGCUUUCAGAUACAUACAGGUGAGCACUAGAGCUUGCAGAAAACUCAUGUCCAUACUACAUGUGUGUUCUUCUAUCUCCAUGCAAUUUCUCAUUUAUACUCCCAUGGAUUUCCAGGUCUUCGAUUUUUUCCGCGGAGAUGGGUGACGCCAAGUCGUCGUGGCCGGAGCUGCUGGGGGCGCCGUCCGAGGUGGCGAAGCAGAAGAUCCUCAGUGACCGCCCGGACGUGCGCGUGUUCGUGGUGCCCGUCGGCAACAACGUCACCGGCGACUUCAACGACAAGCGCGUCCGCGUCUUCGUCAACACCCGCGGCGACGUCGCCAGGGUCCCCAACAUCGGCUAGGACGGUCACGCUCCAUUACGCAUGUAAUAUAUGCUAGUGUGCUCGGCAUGCAUGCAUCGUCAUGGUUCAUGUUAGCCAAGAUUAUUAUGUAUUGUACGCGUACGCACCUAUAUGUUCAUCCUUAUGUUGUAUCUCCAUUGCAAUAAAGUUCACUGAUUGUGGCCACACUUGGUUCA